GUCAUCAGCGGCAAGGCAGGAACGGCGACGGAGCACGCACUCGCUCUGUCUCCACAGCGCUCGUGACAACAUGAAAGCGCGAAAAUUCCAAAAUGAAUUUGUUACCAACUAACGAAUUCACUGUCUUCUGAAAGAUUCCCCGUAGUGUCCGAUGUUCAACCCACUACCAUAACAGUCGCACGGAUGUUUGCGCGCGAUGAGACUUCUCUGCAUCAGACAAACUCAAAUGGCCUGGAGGCACAGAACCAAGAAGACAAGAUGGACUCUAGGAAUGCAAGUCAGCAGAAGACUGUUCCAGGUGUCCACCAGAUGCUGCAGGCAGCCUGCUCUGUCCCACUCACCAUAUGGAACAGAGAAGAGUCGGCUCUGACUGGAAAAAAGGGAUUAAAUAAGAUCUCCUGAGGCAUUAUACUGUAGGUUUAGGAUUAUAUUUUCUGUAUGAAUGAUAAAAUGAAAGCUCUUAUGUAUAAACAUUCACUAUAACUAAAACCACUGACAAGUUUCAAGAUUUAAAAUUAGUUUGUGAACUAGUAUUUAAAAAAAUCUAGAUAUAAAAUCUAAAAAAAAUAUUUCUGGCAUAAUAUUCCUGUAUUUCCCCAGCACCUUCAUAACACAAUCACAAACAACACUAACACAGAAACACCUACAAAAUCCAGAAAUAUUAAAAAUAGUUUUGUCGCACUUUGCACUUAAAUACAUUUGAAUUUCUCACACAGUGUCAGAUCAAACCCGUGAAUUCAGUCUGCUUGAACCGAGAAAACCAAAAAGGGUUUUACCUUCUGUUCAGACGAGCAACUUAACAGUUAACACAAGCAACAAAGCCAGACCUUUGCAAAGCAUUCUGGGAAACUUGGCUGCCGGAGAAAGUGGCUGCUUACUUCCAGAGCGACUAGCUUUGCCGGGGCUGAAAAUGAAGUUUGAAAGUGGAAAUGAGACCUGCUCAUGGCUGCAGGCUCAGUGAGCUCUUAAAGGGAUAUUACCAAAACAUUCCUGGGCAGUAAGCAAGACCCGAACAGUACAGGACAGCACACUUUCACAUAAAAUGUACAGUUUAGAUGUAAGUGGCAGUUCCUGUAAAACUAGUACUUAAAUACCCCCCCC